ACUCAUGUGGGAAUCUUAACUGUUAGGGA
rnacentral:piRNA from 1 species